rnacentral:rRNA from 1 species
UGCGUAGGCGGUUUAUUAAGUCAGGAUGUGAAAGCCCCGGGCUUAACCUGGGAACUGCAUUUGAUACUGGUAAACUAGAGUAUGGUAGAGGGGGGUAGAAUUCCUAGUGUAGCGGUGAAAUGCGUAGAUAUUAGGAGGAAUACCAGUGGCGAAGGCGGCCCCCCUGGACCAAUACUGACGCUGAGGUACGAAAGCGUGGGUAGCGAACA